GACAGAGGGUGCAAACGUUGUUCGGAAUUACUGGGCGUAAAGCGCGUGUAGGCGGCCAUGCAAGUCGGAUGUGAAAGCCCUCGGCUCAACCGUGGACGUGCAUCCAAAACUGCGUCGCUAGAGUCUCGGAGAGGAAGGUGGAAUGCUUGGUGUAGAGGUGAAAUUCGUAGAUAUCAAGCAGAACACCUGCGGCGAAGGCGGCCUUCUGGACGAUGACUGACGCUGAGACACGAAAGCGUGGGGAGCAAACAGG
rnacentral:rRNA from 1 species